AGGUUUUGUGAAAUAGGAAGUGAUUGCAAUCGAUGGAGUUUUUUGAGAAACCGGAAGCCUCGACUUUCCAGCAGGCAGACAACGGAAGCAUCUACGUCUGCCGCAGCACACGUCAGUUAAGGUUAGCAUUGGAUUGGAUGGAUGUACCGCCACGGAUGAUGCUAUUGGUGAGCGGGAAAAUAAAUUACGGAGGUCGCCGGAAGUGGAAUUCAGAGACAUCUAAUUUCCCGAAUAUUAGCUACCCUCUGCUUGAUCGUUGCCCGACUGGUGAGAAGAAAAUGGAAAUUAAUAAAUAUUCCAAACUGAAAACUUUUUUGCACCAGAAACGAUCAACUUUACUGGAGGCACCAGCACCAGGCUCGGACGCAUGUGUCGUGAUAUUUGAAAGGAUUCCUAAUACUUCCGUUGGAAAAACAUACCUGUUUGAUUCACCAGCAGGAGAUGUGAACAAACACAGAUAUGUGUCGUGAUGCUGGCAGAGCAAAUAAAGCGCGAGGAAGUGUGAAAGUUUUAACCAUGAUUUACCGAGUAAGGAUCAUUCAAAGAUCUCUCCUAGGACAAGAACAACUAAGUCUACUGAGGAAAUUGCCGUUUCUUCUGUCCUGUUUGUCCAGUAAAAAAUUUGCUUCUGGUGCAUUAAAUUUCUUUCAAGUCUUCCGAUAAGUUCCGAUGAACGGUCAAAUUUUUUAUUUAUCGUCUGUGU